rnacentral:lncRNA from 1 species
UAAACUGUAGCAGAGAUGAAAGCUAGGCCGUGAUUCGGAAAAGCCGCGGGGGAGAGAGAGACAGAGACAAAAAGCUGCGGGAAGAAAGCCGCGGGGACAGAAAGACGAAAAGCUGCGGGGAAGCUGGGCCGUAGCGGAGAUGAAAGCUAAACUGUAGCAGAGACGAAAGCUAGGCCGUGAUUCGGAAAAGCCGCGGGGGGAGAGGAAAGCCGAAUAGAGAGAAAUAAAAUAGAAAGAAAUAAGAAAGCCUCCCCACAACAUGGCGAUGAGAGAACUCGGAUUCGGACUGCCUAGGGCGAUAAGCACCUGCGGGCAACUCUAGCAGAGCAGAGUAUGUGCCAUGGGGCACCGAAGACAAGCACGUAUCAACGCCACAAAGAAUAAAAAGAAGGGGGAAUCUGUGGGGAACAGGGUCCAUCUCCCGCAACAUGGCGGGGCUCCCGGGAGACAAUUAAGUACUGAGACUGUGGACUGAAACUAACUCUAUACGUCUGAUCUCCCACCAUAUGGCGCUGAGAGGGAGAAAACAAAUCUUACACAGCUGCUUCCUCAAUUAGCUGAUUCCUGAUCCAGCCUCUGAUUGGAAGAAAGCGGCAUGCUCAGCACGCCGGCAGCACAGUACGGAUUGGUGGGAGAGGACUAUAAAAGGGGGAGAGAGACAACAUGUGGGGCCACAUGUGGGGCCGCCUGAGAGAGUCGGUCGGAGAGCUCGUUGGUGCCACUCCUCUGCGGAGGUGGGGGAGCGGCAGCAAAUCUGGGAAGGACUGGGGAAAGAAAACAGCGUCCGGUGUCGUUCCUCCGCAAGUGGGGGAGCGACACAAACAUUAGAAGAGUAUUUUAAAUAUUCUAAUUCCCUUUCCUGUGGGAGUUAUAGGAAACACUUCUCAAGGUUCAAUGCCACCUCUUCUACAUAUCUUCUUUGGAUCUAGGUCAGGCUGAAGCUGGAAGCCAGGAACUUGAUCCAGGUCUCUCACAUGAAUGAAUCUUUAUGAGAUUUUAACUGCAAGCAAGCACAUAAGGUAUUCAAGCUUCUGCAACAGGAAGGACACAUACGGGGAGUAUCUCUUGAAACAUGAAAAUCAGAGGGAUUUUAAAGGAAAAAGAAACAAAAUGUUCAGAGUGCCAGGAGUGUGAUAGGUUUUUGGAGCUUUGAUAAAUUGUUACAAUCUUUCAGAAAUAAGUUAUUUUUCUUUGAGAUUUGGUUUUAUCUGUUUUGUUCUGUUCUUGGAAUUCUUGAUUCAGAUAAGGAAUUUAAAUAGAGAAUGUUAUUCUCUUUGUAACAAGGAACAAUGAGGCUAGAAGCAUUUCACAGCAGAUUUCACAGUUCUCAUUAGGAAACCAAUACCUUCUUUAUGCAAAAAAAUUCAAUGAUAAUUCAGUAAAAGUCUAGAUGGGUUCAUGCUGUUCUGGGUGACCUAAAAUGUUAAACUACUGACCUAAAACUACUUCUAUUUCAGACUAAUUGCAGAAGGAAUUUCAUUUUGGUGUACUACAGCACAAAUGAGAGCAUACACAUACACACACACAAUUUUUUUUUACAAUUUUAUUUUAAAUUUUAUUUGAAAGAUGGACAGACAUAAAGACAGACUGGGAUCUUCCAUCAGCUGGUUCAUUUCCCAAAUAUUCACCAACAGCUGAGACUGGGCCAGACUGAAGCUAGGGGCUUACAACUCAAUCUGGGUCUCCCAUAUGCCUGGCAGGAACCCAAGUACUUGGAAUCAUCACCUGCUGCCUCCUAAGGUACAGGAAGCUAGAAUCAGAAGCAGAUCCAGGAUUUGAACCCAGGAACUCCAACAUGGGAUGUAGGUGUUCAAUGUGGUGUGGGCAGCCGCAGACAGUCGCCUUUUUUGUUUAUGUUUAAACAUAUGGAUGGAGACAGCACUGCACGGACAAAAGGCUAAGGAGGUUCCAGGAAGAGGCAGGAAAAACCUUAUCCCACUGUUACACUUCUUACAAGAGACCCAUGUAGAUAAUCAAUCACGUUUGAAACUUGCAUUUAUCCCUUAGGUGUUUUAUUGUACCCUUGUAAUGAAUGAUUGAUAACAUUUUAUGAUCUGUUAAGUAGAAGAGCCUUGUUGGGAACUCUUUGUAACCCCAAACGUCUUUUAGAUAUGUAAAUCUUUUGUGUGCCUUCUUGUAUACAACUGGUCAUGUUUAAAUACUGCUGGAUUUGUUGAAUAAACAGCCUUGAUUAGGAUUUGUCUUGGCUCCA